rnacentral:rRNA from 1 species
GAUGAACGCUGGCGGCGUGCCUAAUACAUGCAAGUCGAGCGAACAGACGAGGCGCUUGCUCCUCUCACGUUAGCGGCGGACGGGAGAGUAACACGUGGAUAACCUACCUAUAAUACUGGGAUAACUUCGGGAAACCGGAGCUAAUACCGGAUAAUAUAUUGAACCGCAUGGUUCAAUAGUGAAUGACGGUUUUGCUGUCACUUCUCGAUGGAUCCGCGCCGCAUUAGCUAGUUGUUAAGGUCACGGGCUACCACGGCGACGAUGCGUAGCCGACCUGUGAGGGUGAUCGGCCGCAUGGGAACGGAGACAGGGACCAGAGUACUACGGGAGGCAGCAGUAGGGAACCGUACGCAAUGGGCGAAAGCAUGACGCAGCAGCGCCACGUGAGUGAUGAAAGUGCUCGGAUCGUAAAACUCUGCUAUGGGUGGAGAACAAAUGUCUAAGUAACUGUGCACUGAUUGACGGUACCUAAUCAGAAAGCAACGGCUAACUACGUG